rnacentral:rRNA from 1 species
AUUGAACGCUGGCGGCAGGCCUAACACAUGCAAGUCGAGCGAGCGGCGGACGGGUGAGUAAUGUAUGGGGACUGCCCGAUAGAGGGGGAUAACUACUGGAAACGGUGGCUAAUACCGCAUACUAUCGGAUAACCCAUAUGGGAUUAGCUAGUAGGUGGGGUAAAGGCUCACCUAGGCGACGAUCUCUAGCUGGUCUGAGAGGAUGACCAGACGCACUGUAACUUAGACACGGCCCAGACUCCUACGGAGGCAGCAGUGGGGAAUAUUGCACACUAGGCGCAAACCUGGUGCAGCCAUGCAGCGUGUAUAAAGAAGGCCUUAGGGUGAUAAAGAAAUGUCAGCGGGGAGGCGUUACCCGCAGAAGAAGCACCGGCUAACGCCGUGCCAGCAGCCGCGGUAAUAC